rnacentral:rRNA from 1 species
GUCUAUGGCCAUGUCACCCUGAACAAGCCUGAUCCCGUCUGAUCUCAGAAGCUAAGCAAGGUCAGGCCUGGUAAGUACUUGGAUGGGAGACCACCUAGGAAGACCAGGUGCUGUAGGCA